AGCAGCCGCGGUAAUUCCAGCUCCAAUAGCGUAUAUUAAAGUUGCUGCAGUUAAAAAGCUCGUAGUUGAAUUUCGGGGUCAAUAUGUUGGUCGUGCCUUGGUACGUACUAGCUUAUUGAUUUCUCCUUUCUGACGAACCAUGAUGUCAUUAAUUUGGUGUCAUGGGGAAUCAGGACUUGUUAACUUUAGAAAAAAUUAGAGUGUUUAAAGCAGGCUCGCGCUUGAAUAUAUUAGCUAAG
rnacentral:rRNA from 1 species